CACAAAAUCAUCCUCUGUGUUGCGUGAGACUCCCCCCUUGCAGGUGUCCAUGGACAGUGGUAUCCCAAGGAGGUGGAUGGAUGCAUGAUGCUAGGAAUUCAAGCCUGCAGCAGCCCAGGAGCUGGGUUGCAAGAAACAACCACAAGCCUCAACACACACUGAGGAAAACAGAGCAGUAGGAAAAGAGUCUUAGCUGGACUUCAGAGGACCCCUGGUUGGAAGCUGGUGGAGUGGGAAGUCCCAGAUUCCCAUACCCUACUGCUGGGUUUGGGAUGGGAAUAACUGAGUCUAUUUCCAAGCUGCACACAGAAGAAAUCAAUCCAGUAACUUGGUUACAUGCAGCACUCACCACUCCCAGUGCUGUUGUUCUCACUGCUCAUUCUUCAGGACAGAUCCAGCUGUAGAAUUCAGGCCUUAGACUUGCAUCUUUGGGUGCAGCAGAAGUUCCUCUCGAGUGCACAGUAGGAAUCAGACUCCACAGAAUUUCAGAAGUCUGGACAAGAAGCCAUUCUCCACAGGAUUCUCCAUGCCCCUCCAUGACAGCAGAUAUCUGGAUCCACGUUAAUGCCACUCAAUAGCAUUAGAAGCAUUAACUCAGUCUCUACGACUGCACCCUCCUUGGAGGGCGAAGAUUUAUGUAGGCACAAAGUGACACAGAAUGGAAAAGGAGCAGAGGCUUAUUAUAGCAGGGCUGACACAGCAGGAAUGGGGCUUCACUUCCUGAGAAAUCUUGACAGAACUGGGAGUACACACUCCUAAUUCUCCCUAGCCCUUCCUGCUUAUCCUUGGUCCCUCAAACCCUCUCUCUUCAUGGGAGGACUCAGUUUUCCCAGUAGCUUAUGACACUAUGAAAAUGGAGUUCUUAUCUGACUUUGACACUGUAAUAAUAAGAUCCCCCUGUUUAAGGUAUGUAGCAAAGCUGAAUAUACUAAAGUGACUAAAUGUAUAAGACUCCACUAAUUUUAUGUACUUUUUAAACAGAAUAUGAAUGAGGCCAAUGAAGAUGAGAUGCAUACAAAUGAGCUAUAUGAGAACUUGGGUUGGGGGAAAAACUCACGAACUCUAUUAGCUUAUUGUCCUAAUUCAGUUCACUUGUUAUCUUACAGGGCUCUGCCUUUCUUGGUGAUGUUUUUUGUUUACAAUGAGGGAGGAUUUUAGAGAUUGAAGGAAAUACAAAAGAAAAAAGAGUGCAUGCACCAGAGUACCUCAGUAUUGGGAUCAGUCUUCAAAAUAAUGAUUCACUAUGAUUGCAGCUCUGUUUAGACAAAGUUACUGAUGUGCAGAAGAGUCUGUGGGGUCAGACUCUUAAACUUAUAGACACUGGCAUUAAGCCUUUCAAGUAGUAAGACAAAUUUAGCUGGACAAAAGUCUGCCUGGUAAACAGAAGGCUACACAUGUUUAUCAUGGGCUGGGCUCAGCUAGCUCAAUGAUGCACAUCUUGAAUUUCAACCCAAUUUCAAUUUUACAUUUGCAAAAAAGCACUUUCCUGGUAUAUAAAGUGUUAAUAGACUUAGUAUUAACAUUAGCAGUAUGUACAUUUCUAAUUUGACAUUUAUAAUCAAAUUAUUCAGGAGAAAAGGUAUUACAGUUAGAUUUAUUUUAUACCCCCACUGUAUCUGAACACCAUAAUGCAAUCCAUCAAUCAAAAAAGUAAUCAUUUAUUUCUGUUUCUUUCCAUUUAUAAGGACAUUUUUCAUCAGCUUGACAAAAUGAGUUAUGAGCCCUAUUUCAAAUUUCACUUUCUUUUACAACUUCAUUUAGGAACAUCAAAGUCUGAAAUGGGAGGGAAAAAAAAGAAGGAGUCUUACACUAUCAGUAUUUCCAACAAGAGCACCUUUAUUUGUAUUUAUUAAUUUCAUAGAUUUGGUGUUUGUACUAGUUAACAAGAUAUGCUACAUUCUUUUAGCAUCACCAUAAUAAAACAUAGAUAUCCUACUGCACCAGCCAAAGUGACCAUGGUUGAUAAUGUCGCACCAGACAUCAUAUAAUGAAGUUCUCAGAUCUGGCCCAGUCCUGCGAAUCCAUGAAUCUCUAGGAUGGCCCUGCUGGUGGCACCAGGUAGGGUGAGAGCAUGCACCUGUGUUCCCUCUAAGCUGCAGGGCUGCGCAGCUGCCCAAGAGUCAAUCAAGUGCUGUGCACUUGAUUAGCAGAGCCACGCACAUCCAGCAGUGUGUGUUCAGGUGCCCCUCCCUCCGCUGCUCUGCAGCCAUAUUGCUCCU